rnacentral:tRNA from 3 species
GCGAUCUUAGUUUAUUUAGAAUGUCAAUUUGUCUUGUUGAUGGUGAUUCUGCCGAUCAGGUUGCU